CAGCAGCCACGGGAAUACGUAGGUGGCAAGCGUUGUCCGGAUUUAUUGGGCGUAAAGCGAGCGCAGGCGGUCAAUUAAGUCUGAUGUGAAAGCCCCCGGCUCAACCGGGGAGGGUCAUUGGAAACUGGGAAACUUGAGUGCAGAAGAGGAGAGUGGAAUUCCACGUGUAGCGGUGAAAUGCGUAGAGAUGUGGAGGAACACCAGUGGCGAAGGCGACUCUCUGGUCUGUAACUGACGCUGAGGAGCGAAAGCGUGGGGAGCGAACAGGAUUAGAGACCCCUGUAGUCCCUGUCUCUUAUAC
rnacentral:rRNA from 1 species